GAUUUUUAUUUUGGGGAUAAAGAAGUUGAAUUGGAUUGAAGGGGGACAGAAAAUUGGGAAAGUUUGGGGAUGAGAAGCAGUUUGUUAAAUUAAUUAAUGCUUUUUCCAUCAAUGUAUACAUUUUCGUUAGGAUUUUACUAACACCAGUCCCAUAAUGCAUUCGUCUAAUGUGCAUCGAGGAUGAGCCUUCUCAAAUUGCGUCCGUUACGUUUAAAAGAGUGCUCUUUUUCUUUCCGUACGUAUGAUAUUCUUCCUUCUCUCCGGGUCAAGCCAGUAGUAGUUUGGUAAAGUAGAUGAAUAGUUGGGUAUACCGAGUAGUGAUUGUAAGUGUAUUAAUCUUUUAACAUGCAAAAUUCACAAAACCAGGAUAUGUCGCUAGUUUCUGAGUCCUUAUGCAAGUGUUAGUCGUAUGGUAUUUUGGGUAUAGCUGUCCGAUGCAUUGGUAAAUGUGGGCAUGUGGAUGUCUAAUAUUUGAAGAUUUUUCUUAUUAUCUAUAAGUCUUAUACUGUGUUUUUGGUAUGAAUCUUUAUGGAGUAUAUGAAUCAGAUUUUCGUGUGAUUCAGUUUCAAGGAUGUUUAAGUCAGCCUACACCCUUGAUAGAGCUCUUAUGUUGGAUGAGUGCAGACCUUGACGUGGGUAAUAUGCCCUUCUACAUAAAAUUCCUAUAUCUUGGUCGCACUAGACUUUAAGCAUUAUCCUUUUAUUUUGAGUUGGUUCUUUCAUACGGACAUCAGCAAAUAACCUGAAACUUAUUAUUCAAUGUGUUCAUACUUGCUUAAUUUUUUCCUACCCAUUACCUUAUUUUUAUUUUUACGCUCGAAAAUUUAAAGACUGAUAUAUGUACACAUUGUUUUCCUUCCAAUAGGAAUUCAACUGCUUAGAGGCUGCCAUCCGAAGUCUCCCUUAAAGGAAGACCGCAAGUGGGAAGAUCCAGAAUGUGUUGGCGGCCACAAGUGGUCUGUAUCAAGCAAAAAGAUUCAGGAUGUAUUGGGAGGGAAAUACUUUAGGGUGGAAAAAUGAUCCUGAAGAAGCCCUUUCUGUAGCUUUAUGCAUGAAUGACAAGCAGUAUAUACAAUAGAAUUCCAGAACAGAGGAUUGCCGCAUGCUCACAUUUUACUAUGGCUACAUCCAAAUAAUAAUCCAAGAUGGCCGAAGAUGUGGACCGUAUUAUUUCCACAGAGUUGCCAGAUAAAGACAAGGAUCAUGUAUGCUAAGUCAUCACGUCCAUCUAGGCUGCAUGGAAUCUCUACGAUCAUGAAUGGGUUAAAAUGUUUACAUCCUCUCCUUGGUUUGUAUAAGAAUCAGUACCCUUGGUUUGUAUAGAGAAGUUGUUGUUGCUUUUUCCAGUGAAUGCAGCAAGGCCAAGAAACAAGUUUCACCUGUUAAGAGUGCUUGCAAGACUGCAAAGAGCCCUCUCAAAUCUGGAAAUAGUGGACUUAAGUCUGCAAUUAUGAAUUGCAAUGGGUCAGCUUCUAAAUCAGCUGACUUGAACAUAGACCUUUCCAUUUGGCUAGUGAUUUUCCCUACCAAUGGAAAGAUUUGAUUGAUGCAAAGGUUUCAACCUCAGAUGGUGAGUUAUCUGCACCAGCAAAAGGAAGCAGCAAGGGUGUCCAAGCUGAAAAAGUUAAAGGUUCUGCUUCAGUCACUGCAAAAGCUACUUCGGAGCAUGUGCGGAUGAUGGGUGGUGCUGAAGCUAAGGGGAAUUCUAAUCCCUUUAUCGUAUCGGGUUACCUCGGCUUCAUACCAGACAAAAAGCAGACGGAGACAGGAAAACUAGGAGCUAAGGAAAAGAGUGAAAACCCAGUCUUGACAGGUGACAAAGAUGGUAAGUGGGAAGUAGCUUUAAGCAGAAAAUCCCUGCUAAGAAAUCUACUGAUGCUAAGAGCAGAGAAACUUCUGCCACAGUGAGCACUUAUAACACAUUCAUAGUUUUGAACUCCCGAGACAAAGAUGGAGAAACAUCUAUGAUGAUGGAAGCGAAGAGUUCGUUGAGGUCUCUGACAAAUAUGCUCAUUAUUUGAGAUAUGAAGAAAAAGCCGGAAGGAAAACCGACAGAGAGCUUUCAAAGCUCAAAUGGAAUGGGGAAAAUUCCCGAUAAAAGUAAUCUGGAAAAUUUGGGUAAAGGCCAGAGAUCCGUAGCUAGAAAACACAAGUAACUUUGUUCUCCUUUUCCAGCAUGUUUGGUUUUAUACUUUUAUGUUUUGUUUGUGUUGGGGAGUUCGAUUACGGACCCUCUGUCAUGUUUUGCUUGCUUUGUUGUUGUUUGCUUUGCAAGCACCCUUUGUA